GUUAUAACAAAGCACAUGUGAGAAAUGUCUUAUAUAAUGCAAUACUUUCAACAUGUGGAUCACAUGUUACCAAACCACAAGUAGGCUAAUGUUUGCGUAAACAUCAACUUUCGGCUUUACUGUGCAUCAACAAGUGUGAUAAUGUGUACUUUGGUUCCAAUGAUAAAUUGUAUAAAUACAUUUGAAAUCUGCAUAAAGGCAAUAUACACACAAAUGUGGUAGCAGAUUUUUUUUAAUCUUUAUUUUGACAAAAUUAUCUAUUUACAAAAAUUGACAAUAUAUUUUUAAAAAGAUAUUUGGUUGCUGGCAGGUGGCAUGUUGUAAUAGAAUAAGACUUAAUAUUUGGAGAAGGGUUUGCAGACAAUAUUGUCAGUCCUACAAUUGCAAUAAAGGCAAUGGAAGCUUAGUUACAGGGCAUUAUCAUGGAAAAAAUAUGCAUUAAUUGCAAUCUUGCAUAUCCAAGGAACACAGAAUUAUUUGAUGGCUCUGCUGUGCCUGUGCAAAUAAGGGGUAUAUUGAUCCGCAUUUAACCAAUCCCAGUGAGCAUGCGCAAGCACACACGCACGCACGCAGGCACACACGCGCGCACACACUCCUCUUUUUUUCUAGGCGGUUCCAAUCUGUUCUGUGUAUUCAUCUUUAUUUACAGUCUAUCGUAUUCAUUCAUCCAGAUCAUCCAGUCAAAAGGCUUUUUCGACUUCAUACGGCGCCAAAAGAACUGACAGGCCGAUGACGUCAAAGUAUCGCGAAAGCGAUUCGAGGAGUCUGCUUUCAAAUCGCUCUCGCGGAACUUUGACGUUGUACGUCUGUCAGUUGAUCUGGUUAAUGUGAUUCGCGCUCUUUAUCCGUUGCAACUUGCUGAGGUAAAUCUAAGUAAGACGAGAAAGUUGAACCUUGCUCAUUAAAUGGAUAAAAGAAAACCAUGUAAGAGUUGGUUUGGAUAAAUAUGCGAAGGACAAUACAUGUUAAGUGACCCAAAGACGGUUGGUCUUGUGGACAACGAGGAACAAAACGCCUAAAGGCGGUUGGAAAGCGUUUCCAGCACAAAUACUCAACGUGAACGAGAGCCUUGGGUAAAAAAAGGCAGAGUACCAGUGGUUAAAGACACACAAAAUGUGGACGUCAAAACAAAUGGCUACAUUUGCUCAUGAGGAAGAUGAUAACGAAGAGGAUGAGACUCCUUCAAACCAUAAGAUAGUGGAUGAUUCACACUCAACUGCAAAGCAAUGAAAGAACACAUCUGUCAUUAAAUUGAACCCAGUCACCUUGGAUUAUGCCCAAAAGUGUGAGAAUUACAAGAAACGCACCAGAACUGUGAUGGACUCCAUUUCCACCUUAGAAAAAAUGACAACAUGCUCCGUCACAGGGAAAAAGGGACCACUGGUGAACAAAGACAGAGUCCUGACAGAGAAAGUGAAGCUAGUAAUAGGGAGCCUGCUGGAAGAGAAUCUGAGGACUGAUGCACAUAUAACAAUGGACAUGCAUAAAGACACAUCUCUCUCUCUCUCUCUCUCUCUCUCUCUCUCUCUCUCUCUCUCUCUCUCUCUCUCUCUCUCUCUCUCUCUCUCACACACACACACACACACACACACACACACACUCAGAUAUACAGUUGUUGUUGUAUGGACAGCAUUUUAUUGAUACUUGUUUUUUUAUGAAUAUGUUUGGAUACUUGUUAAAAUUUGCUGUAUGUUUGCAAAUAAAUUCUCCAUUUGAAUCAGUUUUUCCUUACAGUAAAAUGUGUCUUAUGUCAAAGUCACAUCAUGGUGCCUUUAUUUUAUAUCACCGACAUCUUAGCAAGAUUAUAGCUUACCCUUGGGGUCAAAUGGUGAGUUUGAGUCCUGGGUUAUGAUAAGAAAAUGUAUGGCCUACUUUAUAUACUUUAACUCUCAAGUUCACAUGUGAAAAAAUACGUGAUCACAUGAGACCCAUGUGAUCACAUGUGCAUAAUGUGAUGACAAUUUUUUGUUUCACAUGGGAAUUUGCAUGUGUUUAACAUGUGAUCCCAUGUGCUUCACAUGGAAAUUCACAUGUGCAUAAUGU